CCUACGGGUGGCUGCAGUGAGGAAUAUUGGUCAAUGGCCGGAAGGCUGAACCAGCCAUGCCGCGUGAAGGUCAAUGCCCUAUGGGCGUUAAACUUCUUUUGUGCGGGAGCAAUAAUGGUCACGUGUGGCCAGACGAGAGUACCGUACGAAUAAGCAUCGGCUAACUUCGUGCCAGCAGCCGCGGUAAUACGGGGGAUGCAAGCGUUAUCCGGAUUUAUUGGGUUUAAAGGGUGCGUAGGCUGUGAGGUAAGUCAGCGGUGAAAUGCCCCCGCUCAACGGGGUGAAGUGCCAUUGAUACUGCCUGGCUGGAAUGCGGAUGCCGUGGGAGGAAUGUGUGGUGUAGCGGUGAAAUGCAUAGAUAUCACAAAGAACACCGAUUGCGAAGGCAUCUCACGAAGCCGCGAUUGACGCUGAUGCACGAAAGCGUGGGUAUCAAACAGGAUUAGAUACCCGAGUAGUC
rnacentral:rRNA from 1 species